GGGGGUGCAAUGGUUUCGACGGGGACUUUGAAACACGAUAAGCGUGGCGAGCCGGGUAAUCUCGUAAACUGCCUAAACUUUUAAAAAUAAACGACAACAAUUCUGUUGCUAUGGCUGCCUAAUCUUUACGCAUUAGCGUAAAGAUGGCAGUGCCGUGACCUGCGGGUCACCCGUUCCUCCGAUGAGUACCACGGCUUCGGACUGAGCGUCAUUUGAGUGGUGCACGUGCAUCGGUCUUUCGCACUUGAACCGAUCAUGCAUAAAAGGGCUACCGGAAGGCAGAGCGUGUCUGUUCGCGCCGCCCGACGGGAAUUUUAAAUAACAGACUGUCCACGAAGAAAGUUGUGUGGAUGGGUUUUCGGACAGGAGUUCGAUUCUCCUCACUUCCACCA
rnacentral:tmRNA from 1 species